rnacentral:rRNA from 1 species
GACGAACGCUGGCGGCGUGCUUAACACAUGCAAGUCGAACGGAAAGGCCCUGCUUUUGUGGGGUGCUCGAGUGGCGCACGGGUGAGUAACACGUGUGUAACCUGCCCUUGACUUUGGGAUAACUUCAGGAAACUGGGGCUAAUACCGGAUAGGAGCUCCUGCUGCAUGGUGGGGGUUGGAAAGUUUCGGCGGUUGGGGAUGGACUCGCGGCUUAUCAGCUUGUUGGUUGGGUAGUGGCUUACAAAGGAUUUGACGGGUAGCCGGCCUGAGAGGGUGACCGGGCACAUUGGGACAGAGAUACGGCCCAGACUGCUACGGGAGGCAGCAGUGGGGAAUAUUGCACAAUGGGCCGAAGCCUGAUGCAGCAACGUCGGGUGCGGGAUGACGGCCUUUGGGUUGUAAACCGCUUUCGCCUGGGAAGAAGCGUGAGUGACGGUAAUGGGUAAAGAAGCACCGGCUAACUACGUG